GUCAGGUGUCGCUGCAGCUUCCUGCCUCUUUUUGGUUUGCUGCCCGGAUUUGUUUGUUGUGCCAACCUGUUGCUAAUUGAUGUCAAGAAAGAGAGGAUAAGAGAUGACCAAGAAUAAUACAAGAGAAGCAGAGAUGUAAGCACACCACUGGCAUGAUGCUGAGGACCAUGAGGCAGGGAUCCAGCAGCAUGCCUGCAGGCCUGCAGUGCAGCAACGGCACCGCGCCAACCUGCACCGGGCUCCCCAUCGCAGCCUCAUCCAAAACGCUUAAUCAAAAGGGACACUCUCCCCACUUGGUCCUGUAUGAAAAGGAAGCUUCUGGCCCACGCUGAGCACCUUGGCCCGGUGACAGAGAAUAACCCAGAUUGCUCUACAAUCUACAGCACUGCGAGGACGUUGGAGAGGAGGCCUGUGAUACAAUCUGCAUUUUCUAGCAGGUUUCCCUUCCAAGGAACCUGUUCAACAAGGUGUCUGAGGCAUAAAAACCUGCAGUCUACAAGAAUGAUUCACCAUAUCAGGAAGGAAAAAAAAAACACUGUGGAAGUUCUCUGGAUGUCUAGGCUGAUUCACCACUUGUGACCCCUGCGACUGCCUCGUUGAAAAUAGACAACAAAGUGUCUGAGAUGAAAACCGGUGGGCAGUCGUGGGCUACAUUGCUGCUCCGCUUUAAGUUGGUUGGACAGUGACUCGAACGAUCGCUUAGCUGGCACUUCCAUUUGUCUGGAUUGUAGCCGCCUAAAAGGGACACGCCGGCAAUGCCAUGCACCGACAUCUUUAAGCAUGAACCAACACAGCUGACGAUGUGAGAGCAGAAAUACAGGAAGCUUAACCGUACACAACAUCUGGGUAUGCAGAGUGGUCUGAUUCCAUCUCGUCCUCUGCAGGGGAAGAUAAGAACCUUCUUCAUGAAUAAAGAUGUUUUUUUGGCA